UGGGGAAUCUUGCGCAAUGGGCGGAAGCCUGGCGCAGCAACGCCGCGUGCGGGACGAAGGCCCUCGGGUCGUAAACCGCUUUCAGGAGGGACGAAGCUUCCGGGGUUAAUAGCCCACGGGGUGACGGUACCUCCAGAAGAAGGUCCGGCUAACUACGUGCCAGCAGCCGCGGUAAUACGUAGGGACCGAGCGUUGUCCGGAAUCAUUGGGCGUAAAGAGCGUGUAGGUGGCUUGAUAGGUCUCGUGUUAAAGCCCGCGGCUCAACCGCGGAAUCGCACGGGAAACCAUCUCGCUAGAGUCCGGAAGAGGGAAGUGGAAUUCCAGGUGUAGCGGUGAAAUGCGCAGAUAUCUGGAAGAACACCAGUGGCGAAGGCGGCUUCCUGGGACGGUACUGACACUGAGACGCGAAAGCGUGGGGAGCGAACAG
rnacentral:rRNA from 1 species